UGGUAAUGCCGGAUGCUCCAUCACACUGCAUGGUGUGUUGGGAAAGCCUUUGCGGCAUGGGAUGGGGUCGCGUCCUAUCAGCUUGAUGGCGGGGUAACGGCCCACCAUGGCUUCGACGGGUAGCCGGCCUGAGAGGGCGACCGGCCACAUUGGGACUGAGAUACGGCCCAGACUCCUACGGGAGGCAGCAGUGGGGAAUAUUGCACAAUGGGCGCAAGCCUGAUGCAGCGACGCCGCGUGAGGGAUGGAGGCCUUCGGGUUGUAAACCUCUUUUGUUAGGGAGCAAGGCAUUUUGUGUUGAGUGUACCUUUCGAAUAAGCACCGGCUAACUACGUGCCAGCAGCCGCGGUAAUACGUAGGGUGCAAGCGUUAUCCGGAAUUAUUGGGCGUAAAGGGCUCGUAGGCGGUUCGUCGCGUCCGGUGUGAAAGUCCAUCGCUUAACGGUGGAUCCGCGCCGGGUACGGGCGGGCUUGAGUGCGGUAGGGGAGACUGGAAUUCCCGGUGUAACGGUGGAAUGUGUAGAUAUCGGAAAAGAACACC
rnacentral:rRNA from 1 species